AGUGCUUUUUGAGGAUAUUUUGUGCCAGAUGGUUGACAUGAUUAAUCCAGAGGAUCAAAGUUAUUUUGCAUUACGCGACUUGAAGGGAAAUAAACUAUCCAGCAGUGUUUUUAAUGUUCUCUUUAACCUUAAUAAGUUCAUGGCAUUUGAAACCCGCGACCCGUUCCUUAUACGUCAAGAACGCGAGAAUCCGAAUUUGACCGAGUGGGAUCGCUUUGCACACAGGGAAUAUAUUAGACUCUCAAUGGAGGAAGAUGCAGAGGAUGCCUCCAAUGGAAGUGCAGAUGUCUGGGAUGAAUCACUUGAGGCGCCUUUUUAAGUUUCAGUUGGCAAGGUGGAAAGUUUCCAGCGAAGUGCAUGCAGCGAACUUCAUCUGAAGCUGAAUUUUGAGCUGCAAAAGUGAAUUUUGCUCAGAAAUGAAUGUUGGAUAAGCUGCUCUUAGAGAUCUCUGUGUUCCACCAAGAUGUUAUUUUGAGAUAGCCACAGAGGAAAUUUUGUUUGGUCUACACGGAGCACUCUCUCGAAGUAUCUGUCCAUGCUAGCUUGAAAACUGCCAACAUGAAUUAUCAAGGGCUUGGCACAUGACCAAUUGACGAUAAAUGUACCUUCUGGUAAUUCAGAACUUCCACAUUUGUUCUCU
rnacentral:misc_RNA from 1 species